rnacentral:lncRNA from 1 species
AUAAAGAACAAGCUUGUGACCUGCCCACCUUUUCCUGUUUCAUGGGAUCAUGAGGCUUGAAUCGGAUGGGAUGCACUUAAUGCAGUGAUAAAUGUCCACUGAAAGGUCACUCUCAUAAUUCACCAUCAGUACAGUCCCAGGCAGAAUGCUGAAUGAGUAAGCAACUAUACAAUCAAUUUCUUAACUGAAACAGCUGUCCGAGGUUUUCUUUUAAGAAGUGGAAAGAAUAGAAGAGAGAAUAAUUGGCUUGAUGACAAAAACUAAAAAAAGAAAAUCUCUGCAUUGUAUAACUUUAUCAGAAAGUCUGAAAUUCAACCAAAAGAAAGACACAGAAGGGAGAUUACCAAUCUUACCAGUAUUUCACAAGGUAAAGGAAAUAAGAACUUUGUUCACUGCGUGAAGAUUGAAAAAAACAAUAUAGUUGUUCACAAUGUUGCAAAAAAUUUGAAUAUUAGAAGAAAUAUGACAAAGAAAAGUACCUAAAAUGUGCUUAGAGAAAUAAUUGGAAAAAUCCAAGAAAAACUGUUGCUGGAAUAGUACAAGCUUGAAAUAAUAACAAUCUAAACCUUAUGCAGAAAGAAUG